rnacentral:rRNA from 1 species
ACGAACGCUGGCGGCAUGCCUAACACCUGCCAGUCGCACGCGACCUUCGGGUCUAGUGGCGCACGGGUGCGUCACGCGUGGGAACCUGCCCUUAGGUUCGGAAUAACUCCCCGAAAGGGGUGCUAAUACCGGAUAAUGUCUUCGGACCAAAGAUUUAUCGCCUUUGGAUGGGCCCGCGUUGGAUUAGCUAGUUGGUAGGGUAAAAGCCUACCAAGGCGCCGAUCCAUAGCUGGUCUGAGAGGAUGAUCAGCCACACUGGGACUGAGACACGGCCCAGACUCCUACGGGAGGCAGCAGUGGGGAAUAUUGGACAAUGGGCGAAAGCCUGAUCCAGCAAUGCCGCGUGAGUGAUGAAGGCCUUAGGGUUGUAAAGCUCUUUUACCCGGGAUGAUAAUGACAGUACCGGGAGAAUAAGCUCCGGCUAACUCCGUG